ensembl:lncRNA
UUUUUAAAUUCCUCACUUAAUAGAAUUAAGGAGAAUAAUCGCGUCACGCAGAUCUCGCUGCGGCGUCUUCUGCGCUUUUCUCAUAGCCGCUGAUCUACACCCCCCUCUGUCUCUGAGGUGGGGAGGCGCGCGUCAUCUCCCAACUGAUGCCCAUUGAUUUAUGAUUUGGUCUUUUUGGUGGGGGGCAUUUAUCGGCCUUGGACUUUCACCAGCUGUCCCCUCAGCCUGAGCGGGGGGGUACCUGUAACUUUCUUCUGCCGCCGUCUUUGCGGGUUUUCCGUCUCAUACGCGCAACACUGUAGCCGGAGAGGCGCGCGCUCGAGGAGCCCCGCAUCGUGCAGAUACGCGCAGCGCUCCAACUCGAGACCACCCACGACCCCUGCCUCGGAGGAGCCGCAGGAGCUCACCGCGUGGACUCAAGACACCCGCAGGGGGAGCGGUUUGAUUUCCCCACCGCCGGCCACCGGACCAACUGGGAUUGUAACACCCCGCCCCGCUGGGAUUUCUGCCAUGUCAGGUGCACGGGACUGCAGAUGGGCCGUCCUCGUCUCUGUGGCGGCGCUUUCGUGUGGUGAGUACCCUUCCUGGUUCUUAGCGUCUCUGUGGGGAGGAAGGUGUUGUGUCGACCUUUUUCGGUUUAGGUCAUCUAGAAAGGUUUAAGACGUUUAGUGCGUGUUUGGUGAAAGGCUUUGGACCCGAACCCUGACCCACGAGGCUCGUCGCUCGCGCCCAUGAACGAAGGAACAUUGGUUUGCGAGGUCGACGGAUCAGCGGGUUUUCGUCCUUCAGGCGAACGACUUCAUUAGCUUCGCCGUUUUACACAUAACGAAACAAAUAUUCAAAAGGAUUUUACUUUGUGCUCCACAUUUAGCUGCCGGCUCUCCCUGGCGAACCGAAGGCCAAGAAUCGGUUCACAGUUUAAAAAUGGUUGCCGGCGGUAACCCGGCAACCGUCCCAGUGGAAUGAAAAGUUUAGCUUUAUCUCGAUCUGCUCGAUCCCCUUCUGUCGCCAACAGA